GGUUAAGCGACUAAGCGUACACGGUGGAUGCCCAGGCAGUCAGAGGCGAUGAAGGGCGUGCUAAUCUGCGAUAAGCGUCGGUAAGGUGAUAUGAACCGCAACAACCGACGAUACCCGAAUGGGGAAACCCAGUGCAAUGCGUUGCACUAUCAUGUCAUGAAUACAUAGUGGCAUGAGGCGAACCGGGGGAACUGAAACAUCUAAGUACCCCGAGGAAAAGAAAUCAACCGAGAUUCCCCCAGUAGCGGCGAGCGAACGGGGAACAGCCCAGAACCUGAAUCAGUUUGUGCUUUAGUGGAAGCGUCUGGAAAGUCGCGCAGUAAAGGGUGACAGCCCCGUACACAAAAAGGCACUUAUUGUGAGUUCGAUGAGUAGGGCGGGACACGUGACAUCCUGUCUGAAUAUGGGGGGACCAUCCUCCAAGGCUAAAUACUCCGUGACUGACCGAUAGUGAACCAGUACCGUGAGGGAAAGGCGAAAAGAACCCCGGCGAGGGGAGUGAAACAGAACCUGAAACCGUGUACGUACAAGCAGUGGGAGCACCUUCGUGGUGUGACUGCGUACCUUUUGUAUAAUGGGUCAGCGACUUAUAUUCUGUAGCAAGGUUAACCGUAUAGGGGAGCCGCAGGGAAACCGAGUCUUAACCGGGCGUUAAGUUGCAGGGUAUAGACCCGAAACCCGGUGAUCUAGCCAUGGGCAGGUUGAAGGUUGGGUAACACUAACUGGAGGACCGAACCGACUAAUGUUGAAAAAUUAAGCGGAUGACUUGUGGCUGGGGGUGGAAAGGCCAAUCAAACCGGGAGAUAGCUGGUUCUCCCCGAAAGCUAUUUAGGUAGCGCCUCGUGAAUUCAUCUCCGGGGGUAGAGCACUGUUUCGGCCAGGGGGCCAUCCCGGCUUACCGAUCCGAUGCAAACUGCGAAUACCGGAGAAUGUUAUCACGGGAGACACACGGCGGGUGCUAACGUCCGUCGUGAAGAGGGAAACAACCCAGACCGCCAGCUAAGGUCCCAAAGUCAUGGUUAAGUGGGAAACGAUGUGGGAAGGCCCAGACAGCCAGGAUGUUGGCUUAGAAGCAGCCAUCAUUUAAAGAAAGCGUAAUAGCUCACUGGUCGAGUCGGCCUGCGCGGAAGAUGUAACGGGGCUAAACCAUGCACCGAAGCUGCGGCAGCGGACGUAUCACCCAGGCACAUUCACAGUAGUGGAUAACGAUUGACGGAGCGCAGCGACGUCAAUGCGCCCAUUAAAGUCGAUGGGCCUCGGGAUACGUCCGUUGGGUAGGGGAGCGUUCUGUAAGCCGUCGAAGGUGGACCGUGAGGUCUGCUGGAGGUAUCAGAAGUGCGAAUGCUGACAUAAGUAACGAUAAAGCGGGUGAAAAGCCCGCUCGCCGGAAGACCAAGGGUUCCUGUCCAACGUUAAUCGGGGCAGGGUGAGUCGACCCCUAAGGCGAGGCCGAAAGGCGUAGUCGAUGGGAAACGGGUUAAUAUUCCCGUACUGGGUGUUACUGCGAAGGGGGGACGGAGAAGGCUAUGUUGGCCGGGCGACGGUUGUCCCGGUUUAAGCGUGCAGGCUUGAGUUCCAGGCAAAUCCGGAACUCUUUAAGGCUGAGGCGUGAUGACGAGGCACUACGGUGCUGAAGUGACAAAUGCCCUGCUUCCAGGAAAAGCCUCUAAGCAUCAGGUAACAUCCAAUCGUACCCCAAACCGACACAGGUGGUCAGGUAGAGAAUACCAAGGCGCUUGAGAGAACUCGGGUGAAGGAACUAGGCAAAAUGGUGCCGUAACUUCGGGAGAAGGCACGCUGGCGCGUAGGUGAAGCGACUUGCUCGCGGAGCUGAAGCCAGUCGAAGAUACCAGCUGGCUGCAACUGUUUAUUAAAAACACAGCACUGUGCAAACACGAAAGUGGACGUAUACGGUGUGACGCCUGCCCGGUGCCGGAAGGUUAAUUGAUGGGGUUAUCCGUAAGGAGAAGCUCUUGAUCGAAGCCCCGGUAAACGGCGGCCGUAACUAUAACGGUCCUAAGGUAGCGAAAUUCCUUGUCGGGUAAGUUCCGACCUGCACGAAUGGCGUAAUGAUGGCCAGGCUGUCUCCACCCGAGACUCAGUGAAAUUGAACUCGCUGUGAAGAUGCAGUGUACCCGCGGCAAGACGGAAAGACCCCGUGAACCUUUACUACAGCUUGACACUGAACAUUGAGCCUUGAUGUGUAGGAUAGGUGGGAGGCUUCGAAGCGUGGACGCCAGUCUGCGUGGAGCCAACCUUGAAAUACCACCCUUUAACGUUUGAUGUUCUAACCUGGCGCCGUAAUCCGGCGUGGGGACAGUGUCUGGUGGGUAGUUUGACUGGGGCGGUCUCCUCCCAAAGAGUAACGGAGGAGCACGAAGGUCAGCUAAUCACGGUCGGACAUCGUGAGGUUAGUGCAAUGGCAUAAGCUGGCUUGACUGCGAGAGUGACGGCUCGGGCAGGUGCGAAAGCAGGUCAUAGUGAUCCGGUGGUUCUGAAUGGAAGGGCCAUCGCUCAACGGAUAAAAGGUACUCCGGGGAUAACAGGCUGAUACCGCCCAAGAGUUCAUAUCGACGGCGGUGUUUGGCACCUCGAUGUCGGCUCAUCACAUCCUGGGGCUGAAGUAGGUCCCAAGGGUACGGCUGUUCGCCGUUUAAAGUGGUACGCGAGCUGGGUUUAGAACGUCGUGAGACAGUUCGGUCCCUAUCUGCCGUGGGCGCUGGAAGAUUGAGAGGGGUUGCUCCUAGUACGAGAGGACCGGAGUGAACGCACCGCUGGUGUUCGGGUUGUCAUGCCAAUGGCACUGCCCGGUAGCUAAGUGCGGAAAAGAUAAGCGCUGAAAGCAUCUAAGCGCGAAACUUGCCUCGAGAUGAAUCUUCCCUGACUCCUUGAGAGUCCUGAAGGGACGUUGAAGACGACGACGUUGAUAGGCCGGGUGUGUAAGCGCAGCGAUGCGUUGAGCUAACCGGUACUAAUGACCCGUGAGGCUUAACCUUACAACGCCAGAAGCGUUCUG
rnacentral:rRNA from 1 species